GAAAUUAAAUAAAUUAUUUAUUUAAAUUAAUUUUUUUUGUUUUAAUAAAAAUAUUUUUUGGUUUAAUUAAUAUCUAAGAAAGAAUUUAUUUAUUAUAGUUAAAAGUAUUGAGAAAGAAAUUUUAUAAAUAAUUUAAAGAAAAAUUUGAUAUUUGUACCUUGUGUAUCAGGGUUGAUUUAAAAAUAAUUUAUUAUUAAAUGUUCUCGAAUUUAAAAGAGCUAAUUUUUUAUUUAUUUUAUUGUAAAAUAAAUAUUUAUAAUAAAAAAUUAGAAAUGAAACGUUAAUCGUUUUUAAAUAUAUCUAGUUUUUAAAGAAAUUAAUUUAAUUUAUUUAUUAUUAAUUAAUUAAUUAAUUUAUUAAUUAAUUAUUAACAAUAAAAAAUUUUAUUAGGGAUAAGCUUAGUAAAAAAAUUUUAAAAUAAAUUUUAUUAUAUUUUAAAUAAUUUAUAGGAUUAAAAAUUUUUAUUAAUAAAAAAUUGUUAUAAUUGAUUAUUUAUUUAAUAUAAUUUAUAUUUUAUUUAAGUUUUAUAUUUAAAUUAAAGUUAUAAUUUAUAAUAUUUAGUAAUAAUGAUUAAAUUAGUAUAUUUAAUAUUGUAUUAUAUAAAUUUUAUUUUAAGUUUAAUUUGAGGAAUUCGGCAAUUUAAAUUUUUCACCUGUUUAAUAAAAACAUGUCCUUUUGAUUAUAAUUUAAGGUCUAAUCUGCCCACUGAGUUUUAAAUGGCCGCGGUAUUUUGACCGUGCAAAGGUAGCAUAAUCAUUAGUUUCUUAAUUAGAAGCUAGAAUGAAUGAUUGGAUGAGAAAAUUUCUGUCUUAAUUUAAAUUAUAUAGAAUUUUAUUUUUAAGUUAAAAAGCUUAAAUUUUUUUAAAAGACGAGAAGACCCUAUAGAGUUUAACUUACUUAAUAAUAUUAAUAUAUAAUAAAUUUUAUUGUUUUUAAUUUUAUUUUAAGUUUAAUUGGGGUGAUUAAAAAAUUAAAUUAACUUUUUUUUCAUUAUAACAUAAAUUUAUGAAUAAUUGAUCCAUAUUUAAUGAUUAUAAGAAUAAAUUACCUUAGGGAU
rnacentral:rRNA from 1 species